GUCACAGUCCUCCUGCAUUACCCACCAGCUGCCCAGUGUUUGAUGCCAGAUGGACUUGUCGUCCCUCAUCAGAGCUCAUCAGAGUAUGCUAAGGAUGACAUUCAUAACCUUCCGCAGGAGGCAGUGCUCUCCAGCUUCUCAUUAUUGUCAUUACUUCACCACAUUGACAGCACUGCCCUCCACCGUGCCCAGCGGGCACCAUGCUGUCUAAUGGGCAAAGUACUCCCAGACCGCAUCCUCUCAUUGGAUCUUCUGCUCAGCCCUCUGACUCAGAGCCAGGUGAUUAUUUCAGGUGAUGAGUGAGGAAAUAGGCUCAGAGGGGCUAAGCAGCCUGCCCAGGGUCACACAGGAUUAGCGGGAGAGCUGGCUCUAAACCACGCUGUGCCCCAUGUGGGACAGUGACCUAGGUUAGGUAUGGGGACAGCCAGGUCCUAGCAUAACGGCUCAGUACCCUUCCGAGCAGGAGGGUAUGGUGCAGGGCUCUCUGCAUCUCUGCAUCUCUAUCUGCAGGCGCAGCCCACUGCAGAAAACUCCUGCCCAGCCACUUCAUUCCCAGGUCCGUGGCUCAGGUCACCUGUCUGCACUGUCACCAGCUAACUGAUGUGGCCAGAGAGAUGGCUGUGAAAGCGCCCCCAAAUCAUCAGUGAUGACCGCCUUCGGAUGAGCCCUCUGAAAAGGGAGAUCGUGUCUGAAAUCGACGAAUGUGUGUAAAGCCUCUGGUGUGCUUGGUCUGAUGAGGUGCUACAGCCAAGAGCAAGAUGAAGAGGGGUGGUAUCCCCCCUCCUCUGUGAGCAAACAGACUAUGGGCCAGGCGGGAUGAGUGACAGACUGUGGGGACCUGGGAGGAGCGAGGGAGCCAUAGAUGCUCAUUGAUUCUGGCUGGCUCUGCAGGUGUGUGUGAGCAUCCCUGAGCGCUGUGCCUCCUUGCAUCUGACCUGACGCUCAGUUCAACCAGUAAGACCUUUCUAGAGGCCGGGGGUGCAGGCUUGGCCAGCACACACCUACCUCCUCACCAUUUGCCGCCUCCACACCCUCCUCCAGCACCUUCUAGGGCUCUGCUUCUGCCUUCCCCUCCUCCACCCAGUGGGUCCCUACUUGUCUGCCAAGGCCCAGUCAUUCCUAUAUGACCCCGUGCAGCCCCUCCUGUCCCCCAGAUAGCUCUUGUCUCCUCCUCUGGGUUUGCUUCCAUGUCACUCUAGGCACUGACUAUAAACCACUGAGCUCGCCUAUGCCCAAGUCUGUCUCCCCACUCCCAAAGUAUGGCAGUGCCUGGGGGCAAGUCCACGUCUGGUCACCUCAGAGUGCCCAGGCUACCCAGCCCUGCAGACAGUCUCGUGCUCAGGGAGGAGUCUGCAGGGUGGAUGUAUGAGGGCCAGUGUCGGUGCUCAGGGGCGUGGCCAUGCCAGGAUCUGGGACAGGCCUGCACAGGGCAAGGUGUGUCUCCAUGGGCAGAUGUCCCAUCAUUAUCUCUGGGGUAGUAAGCUGGGCAUGAGUGGUGUCUGGGACUCUCUGGGGGGAUGACCGGACAUGCACCUCUCACCUUGGUCAGGGUCUGAGAGCAGCUUCAUUGGCCCCUGAGAGUGCUUGAUGUCCACACAGAGGCGGUUCACACUCUGUCCAGGCAGCAUCAGAAUGACCGGAGGCGCCUGGAUGGGGGCUGGGACAACAGGUGUGCUUCCUAAGGCAGGUAGGGUGGGCUAGGAGGCAAGGACAAGGAGGGGGCGUUGAGGGAAGCUGGCAACUUACCUGGAGAUGAGGUUACCUUGGCUCGUUCUGAAAGAAGAAGAAGUCGAGGUUAAGGGAGCCCCUUCCCCGGGGUGGGGGGGCUACUGAAAGAUAGAGACCCGGAUGCGUGUGGCCAGGGGUCUCUCAACUUCAACACUGGGAAACCCACGUGACAAGUCUGCAGAGUUCCCCGAAGCUUUCCUCUCCCAGAGUCUCCCUGUUACAGGGUCAGAAGCUACUGCAGGGACUCUGGCCGGAGCGACAUCUCUGGCUCUUAAAUCCUCACCUUGAAGCACUUCACCGGGAAUGGAGGGGGCUGGUGGCGCCAAAGCAGGCAUUAGUGCAGGGACAGCCAGAAACAGAAAGGAAGGGGACAAUGAGGAUUGAGAGCAAUGAGCACGCCACCCACCCAGCCCCGCAACCCCUGCCACACUAGAAGAGUCUCUGUAAUGAGAUUUGCAAACAAAAGCACAUGCUAUAAGGGAAGAUGGAGGGGACACAGGGCCUUGCCUUGCUCUGCACUGUUUCUGAGUCCAGAUUUGGAAAUCAGAAACAGCUCAAGGGUUCACGGUUGACUUUGGAAAUGGAGGAAGCCUUCCCUUUCUAGAAGGUUCCAUCCUGAGCCAGCCUCCAGAGUGUAAUAAAUCCAAUUCAGUGAAAAUAAAGGCACGUUAUGUCAUGUCAGGCCCCACAGCGACUCUCCCUGGUUUGUGUCCAGCUGUGUGCUUUGUGCUUUACCUCUCCAACUCUAUGGCCCUGUUAAAUGAUCAUCUUGGGGAAAGUAGACCCUCAGAGGGUCAGAAAGCGGCUUACCCAACAUCAUGUCUGGUUCCCCAGGCGUAUGGUAGAGUGGAUAAAGAGGAGCAUUAGGAGGUCCUCGGAGUCUGGAGUCUCUCCAUGGGUCACUAGGUAUCCUCCUGGAAGGUCCAGCUUUGGAAAAGUUGACACAUGCAGUCUUCUCUCAAGUAGUGUCAUGGGUCCCCAAAACUGGGGUUCUGGGGCCCAGUCCAGGAGAGGGAUGUGGAGAGGGCACAUGGCUCCCCUCCCUACACUCAUCAUUCUGGGAGCCUUUCCCUCCAUGGCCAGGAGAAAUUCAAAGUGGGAACAAUGGACCCUUCUUGAAUUCCCGCACCCCCUGCCACUGGGACAUAAGCCCCCGCCCGCCAGCCCCCAAGUCAAAGUACCUUGUCCUCUAUAGCCUCUUCUUUCAGUGAGGACAGAGUCUGCAUAGAUGCCUCCUAAUCAGAUAUAACUAGACUUGAGUUCCAGCCCUGCCAACCGGGCUAGAGAACCAGGCAAAUCACUCUCCCAACAAUCAGGGCAGAGUCUUGUAUGUGACUGGGGUUCUGUCAAUCUACCCCCACCCCCAUCCCUUUCCUCCUUUGUCACCUGUUUUUCUGUGCAUUGUGUCUCCCACAGGAAAUCUAGAGAAAGAAUGAUGACCUGGAAAUCAGAGGAAUGCGGAUUUGUUUCUUGGAUAUACCUUUCUGGGGUCCCCAGCGGAACAGGGAUUGUGUUCCUAAGCACCCAGGACAGGACCUGAGUGCAGACGAUGCCCCCUCCUGGCAGCAGGGCUGGGCUGGAGAGGCCCUGGCCAGCGACUUCAGGGGCCGGUGCCUUAGGCCCUGUGUCAGCCAACCAUCCCCCAGCCCAGCCUUUGAGGGAAUUAGGCUCUUACUGGUAUAAAAGUUCUUGUGUUUGUUUCCUGGAUAAAGCAAAAAGAAAGAAAAGCAAAUA